ensembl:lncRNA
CAUGAGCAAGGAAUCAUUUUCUGUUGAGUUUGAGCCAAAAUGCAUAUUGACGUCUGCCUGUUACAGUAGCCAGCCCAUCCAAAUUAAUUGACUGCUUCUUGAUCUUACGAUGUAUUUAACCUUUAGCAUGGCUGACAAACUCCCGUGGAUGUAGCUCUUUCAGUCUCGUCGCAGUAGGUGAAGCCUCAGGCUCUGGAGCUGGUCUACAUGGUUCAUGUUUGAGCUCGCAAACCAGCUUUGUGACUUUGGAUAAAGUACUUGAGUUCUCUGUGUCUGUUUCUCUUCCUCCAGAAGAAGAGAAUUUUGUUAAGAACUCCGAACAGUCUGGGAAUUUACCCUACUCACCAGCCAGCUUGCCUCUCUUCCAUGGAUGCUGGCAGAAGACACAAGACUCUCAGAUUUAUUAAGGAAAGGAAAAUAGAGUCACAAGACAGAAAAAGAAGAGAGAGA